rnacentral:lncRNA from 1 species
GCCGUCUACAGAGUGUAGAUGACUUGCACUAUAUGUAACAAUUCUCCAAAAGAGUAUGCACUAUUACGAACAACAAAGUCCACUUUCCUUUAGCAUAAACAAAUUUCAAGUAGUAAUGAUUUCCAUAUUGCUAUAGAGUAGCCAACAUAAACUCAUUUAUUCUUCUUAGAUAAAAGUAGUUCUUCAUAAAGCCAUUAACUAAACAUAUAGUAAGCAAGAAAGGUAAUUGGAGAUGAAGCAUGACAAUUUGAAACUAUGAACGAACACUAAGCCUUAAACAUUUCUAGGAGAAAGCCGCAGAUAAUCAUAGUCGUAUUGAUAGAAAAACCUCAUCCCCGUAUAGACUAAGGAUCCCAUAUCACACAUACACACAGAGAAGUUAAUACAUCAAAUUGACCUUCUCGAUUCACAUAUCCAAUCAAAAUUAGUAGCUUCCAGCAAAACUAUCGGAUUCAAAAAUCCUCAGUACUAUAGAAGAGAAACAUCCACUUGUUUUAUUGCAUACCAAAAGCAUAAAGAUAUAAUUCAAGAAUUGUUGAAUUGAGAAAGAGAUGGCCAAAAAGAGGCUUUCAACAGAUCUACACGCACAAAUAGAGAAGGUGAAAGAGAAGCAAGAUGUAAUACAUCUCCAAACUAAAUAUAGGCAAUAAACGAUAUUUUCCCAGAUGAAAUCAACAACAAAAAAUAAGAAGAACAAAGACACAAGAGAGAGAAUAAAAAGGAAUUACCAUGUGGAGGUACUUGUCCUCAUCAACAACCCUCGUGUUUUCAAGCUUAAUGUUGAGAUAUUGAUCAACUGAAUGUAGUGUUCCUCGAAUAGCCAAAUCGUUCUUCAAUUCCACAGUCACUUCUCUGCCCACCAGAUCCUUGAAGUAUGAAAAAAAAACUACUGAAAAACACAAUGGGCCAGGGGAAAAACCAAGUUAGAACAUAGACCAAAUAAACUCAUGAGAAAAAAACUUAAAUAAGAAUUAAUUCAAAUAAGGAAAAUAAUUCUACUCUAGAACACUCGAAGAAAACAAAGCAGACAUCAAUUGUAUACAAAGUAGGCAUGAAUAAAGAAAAACAUACAACAAUAAGAAAGAGGGAUCAACGAACAAUACCAUUUUUAUCUCCCAGGGAGUAUCACACUGUGUUCUCCAUAUACUCGGCAGCUAUCUGCUUAAAAAAAAAAAAACUGAAAAUUUUCAGCCUUUCUUAUAACACAGUACGACAACAACAACACACCUAGUUAGUAAUAUUAUAAAAGCUCAUAAUACUCUGAGGGGUUUGGAGGUGAGAUAUGCAAGUAUUAAAUCACGAACAAGUUACCCUCGACUUUUUGAGAAUCUUCAAGAGCUCUAUGGACUUCCUCAUCAAUAUCCCUAUGUUCCAAGACCCUACUCUCCGCCCAUCAUCUCCCUUAACCCCCUUACCACCCCGAACCCUCGCCCCCAACCUAUAAACUAAAACUCAAAAUAGCACACUAUAACACACCUAAAAUCCCAUUUGUUUAGACUAAAUUGCAUAUAAAGGGGAUGUUAUUCAAAUACUUAUUUCGGUUGAUUAGGAAAUGAAAUCAGCAGUAAAUUUUGACUUCCUAUAAUCCCAAAUUCCAGAAAAUAACAACAAAAAUGAAGAAAAACAAAGCAUCUUCCACGAACUUAUUUAUUUCUCCUAAUCUUAAAUAUUAACAAAACUUGAUUAUUUCCAGCAUAGUAUACCAUCACAACUUAAAAUGCAAUCUAUUACAAAAGACGUCAAACUUAGAUAAAAGUAGUUCUUCAUAAAGCCAUUAACUAAACAUAUAGUAAGCAAAGAAAGGUAAUUGGAGAUGAAGCAUGACAAUAUGGAGAAACAUGCUACAUUUUGU